GGGGGCGAAACGGUUUCGACGGAUUGGAGGGUACAGGUAGUUGCGUGCCGAGGACGUCCGGUUACCUCGUUAACCAUCCGGGCAAACCCACAAGUGCCGAUAACUACGGCAUGGCUUUUGCUUAGAAGGCAAUAGCCCGUCGCCCUGAGAGGUGUCUGCCCUCCCAGGAACCGGCGUCAUUUUGCAGACUGGUCCCGACCCCUGCCUGAUGGAUCGGGAUGAGAACUGUCAGGCUGGCCGCUUCGGCGAUUGUCCGUUGACAAUGGAGCGGUGAGAACUGCCAACGGUCUACGCACGUAGAUACCGCCUGGGUCCCCUUUUCGGACGGGGGUUCGACUCCCCCCGCCUCCACUA
rnacentral:tmRNA from 1 species